GGAAGGAUCAUUAUCGAGCAAAAAGACUCUCACUAACUAGUGUUCACUACUGAGAGCCGCUACGGGGUCGCCCCCGCUCGGCCCGACCUGGAAGGGUCGGUGUUCGAGCACGGGGCCGGUUGUCGGCUUUCCAGCCGUUGCAACUGCCCUCUUCCCACAUACGACGGGAUUAAGUGGCGCGAGUAUGGGGGACAUGUCGAACUCCUCUGAUUUUAGAGCGCUAGUUCGACGACGGCGUCGUCUCGCCUUACUCAUUCAAACACAAACUAACGGUAUUCUGUUGGCGUCUACGCCUGAGCCUAGAGUUACGGUUGCCUUUCCGUCGACCGUCUGAAUGGCCAGGAGACAGUUCCCGUCGUUCCAUUUCCAAUGGGCGACGGUCGAGCAGACUUAAUGAGCGCCGGCCGGGGCGUCGCCAGCAAACACACCCACUUAACGAGGUUACCGAAUUGAUCACCUCCAACUCUUCUAGAGAUGGAAAAAAUUACUACUCUAAGCGGUGGAUCACUCGGCUCGUGGAUCGAUGAAGAACGCAGCUAGCUGCGUUAAAUAGCGCGAAUUGCAGACACAUUGAGCGCUAAAAUUUCGAACGCAAAUUGCGCCAUCGGGUUCAUUCCCGUUGGCAUGCCCGUCCGAGGGUCGGAUACCCUAUGUUACCGAUAGGCUCUGUGCGCUUAGGUUGUUCGCGCGAAGGCGUCUUUUCGCGCGAAGCCCCUAGACGUACGGAGUCGGUUAGUCGGAGCGCUACUAUGCGUAAGCGUAGUACCGCUCUCAGAUGAUACGGUUCUUCGGAACUUGCGUGCUCGAGCGCUCACCCGCUCUACAACGCAGUGCAAGACAUGGUGGCUAAGGCCGGAUUCGCGCCGCACAUCGCUCGAAUCGACAAGCGCCGCUAACUCCGCCGUCUCGCGCAUUCAUCAAUUGACCUCGGAUCGGACAUGACU
rnacentral:misc_RNA from 1 species